AAUACCGCGGCCUGAAUUCAGGAGAGUCACACCAAGAAUAACAUGACCAAAUAGGAUGAAAACUCUCAGCUCUUUGCACCCAUCCAGUCUUACCAGCUCCAGCAGGACCUUGCUGGGACAGUCUUCUCCCAGGUGCUGCCAUGGCCCACCUCUGCCCCCAAAUCCCUCCUGGGGGAAUGGAGAGCCCUCAAGUUUCAGUCAGCUGCUCCUAAAGAGAAGGGGUGCUGGGAGAAUCUGGAGAGCAGCCACCGACCUACUCCUGAAAGUGAAAGCCUCAAAACAUAGCAAAUGCCACCAGCCUCCAGCAGUCUGUCAUACUGAGGCACUGAGGAAUCAGCAAGAAAAAAGAGUCCUCCCACACUGAAAUCCUAGGCCGGGUGUGGCUGGGAUCCAUCUGAGGAUACUCCUGGUGUGCUUCCUGCUCUUCCUGGGCUUGUUUUUUUGGAUCAGGUACUUCCUGGAGGAGCUGAGGCCACAAGCGAUCUCCUUCAGCAGUCAUUGCACAACUGCCAGCAUCGACGCAGUGUUCACCUAAAAAACAGUACAUUGAAAAUAAAACUGGGGUAAUAGACUCUCUCCCAGUACAGGAAUUAGAAACAACCUAUAGAAGCAUAGAAUAGCCCGAGUUGGAAGAGACCCAAAAAGCUAUUCUGAGAAUACUAUUACCAUGGAUCCACUAUGAAAAGCAAAGGGGCAGCAGCACAGCAAGACUAGCUUCUUCUCAGAGCCAAGAAGAAAUAAAAAAGAAGGGGGGGGGGGGGGGGAAUUAAGUGAAAUUAAAUGAAAUAAAGCGCUUUUCUGAGA